rnacentral:rRNA from 1 species
UUCCAGACUCCUACGGGAGGCAGCAGUGAGGAAUAUUGGUCAAUGGCCGGAAGGCUGAACCAGCCAUGCCGCGUGAAGGUCAGUGCCCUAUGGGCGUUAAACUUCUUUUGUGCGGGAGCAAUAAUGGUCACGUGUGGCCAGACGAGAGUACCGUACGAAUAAGCAUCGGCUAACUCCGUGCCAGCAGCCGCGGUAAUACGGGGGAUGCAAGCGUUAUCCGGAUUUAUUGGGUUUAAAGGGUGCGUAGGCGGAAUGCCAAGUCAGCGGUAAAAUCGGGGGGCUCAACCUCGCUCCGCCGUUGAAACUGGCGUUCUUGAGUGGGCGAGAAGUAUGCGGAAUGCGUGGUGUAGCGGUGAAAUGCAUAGAUAUCACGCAGAACUCCGAUUGCGAAGGCAGCAUACCGGCGCCCAACUGACGCUGAAGCACGAAAGCGUGGGUAUCGAACAGGAUUAGAUACCCCGGUA